rnacentral:lncRNA from 10 species
CCAUCUUGUUUCUCCACCUUCCCCUAGGGCCUUGUCCUUUGCUGCACAAAGUCGGGCUGCAGACACAGCCAUGUUCCCAUUCACAGAUAAGACAAAGAGUGGAAAUGGAGGGCGGUCAUAUUUUUUUUUAAACCAAUGAACCCAAGUGCAUACAUCACUUCCACUUACAUUCCACUGUCACGUGGCCACACCUGGCCACAAGGGUGACUAA